UUAGAGUUUGAUCAUGGCUCAGGAUGAACGCUAGCGGCAGGCUUAACACAUGCAAGUCGAGGGGUAACGAUAGUGCUUGCACUAGGCGACGACCGGCGCACGGGUGAGUAACGCGUAUGCAACCUACCUUUAACUGGGGGAUAGCCCAGGGAAACUUGGAUUAAUACCUCAUAGCAUUAUAUUUUGGCAUCAAGAGAUAAUUAAAACUCCGGUGAUAGAAGAUGGGCAUGCGUGACAUUAGUUAGUUGGUAAGGUAACGGCUUACCAAGACUGUGAUGUUUACGGGGUCUUAAAGGAUGGUCCCGCACACUGGUACUGAGACACGGACCAGACUCCUACGGGAGGCAGCAGUGAGGAAUAUUGGUCAAUGGGCGCAAGCCUGAACCAGCCAUGCCGCGUGAAGGAUGACGGCCCUACGGGUUGUAAACUUCUUUUAUACAGGAAGAAAAUACCUUACGUGUAAGGUACUGACGGUACUGUAAGAAUAAGGAUCGGCUAACUCCGUGCCAGCAGCCGCGGUAAUACGGAGGAUCCAAGCGUUAUCCGGAUUUAUUAGGUUUAAAGGGUCCGCAGGCGGGCUUUUAAGUCAGUGGUGAAAUCCUACAGCUUAACUGUAGAACUGCCAUUGAUACUGAAAGUCUUGAGUGUGGUUGAGGUAGGCGGAAUGUGUUGUGUAGCGGUGAAAUGCUUAGAUAUAACACAGAACACCGAUUGCGAAGGCAGCUUACUAAACCAUAACUGACGCUCAUGGACGAAAGCGCGGGGAGCGAACAGGAUUAGAUACCCUGGUAGUCCGCGCCGUAAACGAUGAUCACUCGUUGUGCGCAAUACAUCGUGCGUGACUGAGCGAAAGCAUUAAGUGAUCCACCUGGGGAGUACGUUCGCAAGAAUGAAACUCAAAGGAAUUGACGGGGGCCCGCACAAGCGGAGGAACAUGUGGUUUAAUUCGAUGAUACGCGAGGAACCUUACCCGGGCUUAAAUGCAGAGUGACCAUCGCCGAAAGGUGAUUUCCCUUCGGGGCAAUUUGCAAGGUGCUGCAUGGCUGUCGUCAGCUCGUGCCGUGAGGUGUCGGGUUAAGUCCCAUAACGAGCGCAACCCCUAUCACUAGUUGCCAGCGGAUAAUGCCGGGGACUCUAGUGAGACUGCCACCGUAAGGUGUGAGGAAGGUGGGGAUGACGUCAAAUCAGCACGGCCCUUAUGUCCGGGGCUACACACGUGUUACAAUGGUAACUACAAAGGGCAGCCACCUGGUGACAGGGAGCUAAUCCUAAAAAGUUAUCUCAGUUCGGAUCGAAGUCUGCAACUCGACUUCGUGAAGUUGGAAUCGCUAGUAAUCGCGCAUCAGCCAUGGCGCGGUGAAUACGUUCCCGGGCCUUGUACACACCGCCCGUCAAGCCAUGGAAGCUGGGGGUGCCUAAAGUCCGUAACCGUAAGGAUCGGCCUAGGGCAAAACUAGUAACUAGGGCUAAGUGGUAACAAGGUAGCCAAGGGCGAA
rnacentral:rRNA from 1 species